AGCCAUUUCACAUCUGUUACAUUAACAGAAUAUUAGUUGAAAUAAAAGUUACACUACCCAAAAUAUACUGAAUUGGUGGCAGAACCCACAGUCAUCAGCCCUAGGCUAAAUACCAACAAGGUAUCCACUCAGCCCUACUAACCUAGGCUCAAUACCAACAAGGUAUCCACUCAGCCCUACUAACCUAGGCUCAAUACCAACAAGGUAUCCACUCAGCCCUACUAACCUAGGCUCAAUACCAACAAGGUAUCCACCCAGAACUACUAACCUAGGCUCAAUGCCAACAAGAUAUCCACUCAGCCCUACUAACCUAGGCUCAAUACCAACAAGAUAUCCACUCAGCCCUACUAACCUAGGCUCAAUACCAACAAGGUAUCCACUCAGCCCUACUAACCUAGGCUCAAUGCCAACAAGGUAUCCACUCAGCCCUACUAACCUAGGCUCAAUACCAACAAGGUAUCCACGCAGCCCUACUAACCUAGGCUCAAUACCAACAAGGUAUCCACUCAGCCCUACUAACCUAGGCUCAAUGUCAACAAGGUAUCCACUCAGCCCUACUAACCUAGGCUCAAUGCCAACAAGGUAUCCACUCAGCCCUACUAACCUAGGCUCAAUACCAACAAGGUAUCCACUCAGCCCUACUAAC